rnacentral:rRNA from 1 species
AGGGAACGCGGGAGGGAGGAGUAACACAUGCAAGUCGAACGGCAGCACAUGUGUGCUUGCUCUCUGGGUGGCGAGUGUCGUACGGGUGAGGAAUAUAUCGGAAUCUGCCUAGUUGUGGGGGUGAAUGUAGGGAAACUUACGCUAAUACCGCAUACGUCUGGUGGGUGAAAGAGGGGGAUCGCAAGACUGCGUUUGUUUGUGUGAGCCGAUGUCGGAUUAGCUAGUUGGCGGGUUAAUGGCCUACCAAGGCGACGAUCCGUAGCUGGUCUGAGAGGAUGAUGAGCCACACUGGAACUGAGACACGGUCCAGACUCCUACGGGAGCACGCAGUGGGCACACUUGGACAAUGGGCGCAAGCCUGAUCCAGCCAUACCGCGUGGGAGAAGAAGGAAUUCGGGUUGUAAAGCCCUUUUGUUGGGAAAGACAAAAAACAGGCUAAUACCCUGGGAGGAUGACGGUACCCAAAGAAUAAGCACCGGCUCUCUUCGUC